rnacentral:lncRNA from 1 species
AUAAAUCAGCAUCAGUACACCUUGACGAGCAAAAGCAGGCCAUUUGUCACCAGUUGUAGCUGCCCGCGUGUGUACCACUUUUGUAAGCGUUAUCAUUUUCUGGGACCUUUAUCGUCCAUGAACUCCAAUGCACGGCUUAAUCUGGUCCCAUUCGUUUAUCAUUAUUGAUAAUAAAGAGAGCAAUCCUCGCCCCCCACGGUCCAAUCUUCCCAGAUAAUGCAAUUGAGAUGGAGGAGAGUGAGGUAUAAUCGGAAGGGAGGGUGUGAGUGAGAGACGCGAGAUUUUCAAGUGGCAGAGAAGGAAGGUUUCAGACGCUCGCCAGCGUUGCACCACCAAAACUUGCAAAAGUUCUGAUGGUGCCACGCUGUGUGCGUCUAAAAUCUCUUAACUCCUUGGUUUUCUUCAUAUAAUUAAUGCCGAUUGAAGGGAUAUAUUCAAGCAUCCAAACCUGGAUUGGAAGAAAAUUGGUGAAGAGCUGAGAUACGUUAGCUUUUUCAUUUUCUUUUUCUUUUUUAAGAAAUUUAAAUCCCCGCCAUGUAAUCUUUAUAAUCGCACGAUGGUUUCUUGUUUUGUUCAAUUACCUGCUUCCUUCUUUUGAACAUUUUCUCUUUGCAUUGUUCUUCUUCUUAUUUCAUGCAUUUCCAGUUGAAGGACACUGGAGUGAAGCCAAUAACUAUAGUACUGUUUAUCAUUGCUAUUUGUUUUUUUUUCUUCCAAACUUCAUCCUAAUUCUCCAGCUUAUUUAAAUCUUGGUUAUGGUAAUUGGAAUAGUUAUAGCAUUGUUCAUCUGCUUGUCAUUGUUAUAGUUCUUUGCAUUCUAUCGUCCUUGUUCUUUUAUGCAUGUAUCAAGUAAUUAAUUUGACUCUAGUCUCGGGUUUCAAUUUUGGCAGAACAAAUUAUAUGAACAUGAGUAAUUUUUUAGCCAAACCACCCUCCCUUUGACGCCCCAAUUCAAUCUGUGAAGUAACAUUUGUUAUCUAGUUCUUUUUCGUUAUGAAUUGUUACAUUACAUGACUAGUUCUACAUGAUCUAAAACAG